rnacentral:rRNA from 1 species
GAUGAACGCUGGCGGCGUGCCUAACACAUGCAAGUCGAGCGGCAGCGAGGGGUGCUUGCACCCUGUCGGCGAGCGGCGGACGGCUGAGUAACGCGUGGGAACGUGCCCCAAAGUGAGGAAUAACUGCCCGAAAGGGUAGCUAAUACCGCAUAUUAUCUUCGGAUCAAAGGAUUUAUCCGCUUUGGGAGCGGCUCGCGUCGGAUUAGGUAGUUGGUGAGGUAAUGGCUCACCAAGCCGACGAUCCGUAGCUGGUCUGAGAGGAUGACCAGCCAGACUGGAACUGGGACACGGUCCAGACUCCUACGGGAAGCAGCAGUGAGGAAUCUUCCACAAUGGGCGAAAGCCUGAUGGAGCAACGCCGCGUGAAGGACGAAGGCCUUCGGGUUGUAAACUGCUUUUAUAAGUGAGGAAUAUGACGGUAACUUAUGAAUAAGGAUCGGCUAACUACGUG